rnacentral:lncRNA from 1 species
CCCAGACUGCUGUGUUUCCUUCGCAGGUGCCUGCUUUUGCGUUUCUCUGAUGCUUCCUGUGGAGAUAUUCCUCAGUGACUCCCUGCAAUGACACUCAUGAAGACAGAUUGUUAAAUAUGAAUCACAGAUGCUCUGAAGAAUUCCCUGAUAUUGCUACCAAAAGGGAGGUGGAGGACGUAAGAGCAUCUUUGUGGUGUGGGUGGCCUCACUGAAAGCCAAAGCCUGGGCUGACAUGAACGACUUCCUCAAGGCCACACAGUCUGCAGAAGAGUUGGG